UGAGUACGAGAUGCUACGGCGUCGAAGCAGUCUAGGUCAUACUUCCAAGAAAAGCUUGCACUGUCAUAAACAAAGAAUGCCUGUACCAUAACCGACACAGGUGGGUAGGUAGAGUAUACUAAGGGGCGCGAGAUAACUCUCUCUAAGGAACUCGGCAAAAUGACUCCGUAACUUCGGGAGAAGGAGUGCCUUAUUUUUAAGGUUGCAAUAACAAGAUCCAAGCAACUGUUUACCAAAAACACAGGUCUCCGCUAAGUCGUAAGACGAUGUAUGGGGGCUGACGCCUGCCCAGUGCCAGAAGGUUAAAGAAGUUGGUUAGCAUUUGCGAAGCUGAUAACUGAAGCCCUGGUGAACGGCGGCCGUAACAAUAACGGUCCUAAGGUAGCGAAAUUCCUUGUCGGGUAAGUUCCGACCCGCACGAAAGGCGUAAUGAUUUGGAUACUGUCUCGGAGAGGGGCUCGGUGAAAUAGACUUGUCUGUGAAGAUGCGGACUACCUGCACCUGGACAGAAAGACCCUAUGAAGCUUUACUGUAACUUGAGAUUGAAAUUGGACUUUAUUUGCGCAGUAUAGGUGGGAGGCGUUGAGAAUAAUCUUGCGGGAUUAUCGGAGCCAUCAGUGAGAUACCACUCUUGUAAUGUUAGAUUUCUAACUUUGUAUCAUUAUCUGGUCAAAGAACAGUUUCAGGCGGGCAGUUUGACUGGGGCGGUCGCCUCCCAAAGGGUAACGGAGGCGCACAAAGGUUUCCUCUGAACGGGUAGAAAUCGUAUCUAGAGUGUAAAGGCAUAAGGAAGCUUGACUGUGAGACCUACAAGUCGAGCAGGGACGAAAGUCGGUCUUAGUGAUCUGACGGUGCUGAGUGGAAAGGCCGUCACUCAACGGAUAAAAGUUACUCUAAGGAUAACAGGCUGAUCUCCCCCAAGAGUUCACAUCGACGGGGAGGUUUGGCACCUCGAUGUCGGCUCAUCGCAUCCUGGGGCGGUAGUACGUCCCAAGGGUUGGGCUGUUCGCCCAUGAAAGCGGUACGCGAGCUGGGUUCAGAACGUCGUGAGACAGUUCGGUCCAUAUCCGGUGUAGGCGUUAGAAUAUUGAAAGGAGCCUUCUCUAGUACGAGAGGACCGAGAAGGACAUACCUCUGGUGUGCCAGUUAUCGUGCCAACGGUAAACGCUGGGUAGCUAUGUAUGGAGUGGAUAACCGCUGAAAGCAUCUAAGUGGGAAGCCCACCUUAAGAUAAGUAUUCUCACC
rnacentral:rRNA from 1 species